UACGUAGGGUGCGAGCGUUAAUCGGAAUUACUGGGCGUAAAGCGUGCGCAGGCGGUUUUGUAAGCCAGAUGUGAAAUCCCCGGGCUUAACCUGGGAAUGGCAUUUGGGACUGCAAGGCUGGAGUUUGGCAGAGGAGACUGGAAUUCCUGGUGUAGCAGUGAAAUGUGUAGAGAUCGGGAGGAACACCGGUGGCGAAGGCGGGUCUCUGGGCAAUUCCUGACGCUGAGGCGCGAAAGCGUGGGGAGCAAACGGG
rnacentral:rRNA from 1 species